UUCCUGUCAGCUCAACAAAUGACUAAACUGUCCAUGAAACUCUGAAACUGUCAGGCGGAUCAAUAUCUAUCACCAUGCUGCAGGAAUCUGUUGUCUCCAAAGUGUCGCUGCUCUGCUGCUGCAGAAGCUCUGGUGAGUCUGCAUUACCAAAAACAAUGCUGAUUUCCACCAGCUCCACUAUGUUACUGUCUGUGUAUGCAGCACCACUUUCAGGACAUGGUCUACCGAGUGGUGAGGAAGCUUUUGUACAUUUUGGUACUUUCUCUUCUGGAUAUGUCCGCGGACCUGCUUUUCCUGGGGCUUCUGUAAUAAGAAACAGAGCAUUCAACUACUAUUAUCUUCACAGUACAGGGCUUAUAAGAUACCUUUCUGUCUCCAACAACUGCACCACCUGAGCAUGUACUGACUUAAGAAGAGUGGAGAGAUAAAAUAAACAAGCCGUGUGUAAGUAGAACAUCUCAAAUCAGCUAAAGGCAAUAACUGCCACAGCGCUAAACCCCAGUAAAGCAAAUGUCUGCUGAAUCACAUCACUAUUUCCAUCAGGUGUGUUGAAAAUAAGCUACAAUACCUUACUCUUACAGAAAGACAUAAUGACAUUGAAGUAUUAAGAAUUAGCAAACUACUGAAUUAGAGAGGAAAGUUGUAUAUCUUCACUAAGAAUUAAAUUAUUUGAGGAAUCAGUAGUGAAGAAUGCUGCUGGAUGUUACAAACUCUGUGGAUAUUACCACAAACUUUGUUUUCUAGGCUUGCAUGCUUUCAUUUCUACUGGAAAACGAAGUUCCUCAAAGCAGUGACAAAAGAACAAAACCAGGAUGACAUGGGAAUGAACCGCACCUUUCUAAAACACAUGUUCUCACAUCAGUCAUUUUAAGGAGAAGAGGAAGAGACCAGCAAUAAGUAUCAAAACUUCACAGAAAACUAGCAGACUGAUCCUGGUGCCUCUGGGACUCCCAAAAGUGAACAAGGAAGACAGCAAUUCUUUGCAAGAUUUGGGAGUCAGUGUCAGUUCCUUAAGAUACAAUGGAAGCACAAAAACUGCAAAUUGUGAGCCAACCUGCAAAAAACGCCAAGGAAUUUGAUAUAGAAUUGCAUCAAAUCUACUCCAAUCCAGUUUUACCUUGCCUGAGACAAGGCUUCCUUGAAUCUGACAGCAUGGCUUCCUUAUUUUCCUCCAGACAACGUAUGAAGCACAGGUACUAUCGAGUCCCCUUUAUUUUCCCAUAUAAUGAAAUUACAUUUUCCCUAAGAUUUUAUUAUUAUUAUUUAGAAGGCCUGCAAGCUAAACAGUGGGACUGAGAAUGGGCUUAAGCCCACUGAGUAACAUUGUGUACUUUCUGACUCUGUUACUAAUAGUAGCCACUGGUGUGGUCCUGACUUGAAGUAUCCAGAGCUUAAAGGGAAAA